rnacentral:rRNA from 1 species
GACGAACGCUGGCGGCGUGCUUAACACAUGCAAGUCGAACGAAGUGGCGAACGGGUGAGUAACGCGUAAUCAACCUGCCCUUCAGAGGGGGACAACAGUUGGAAACGACUGCUAAUACCGCAUACUGAAGGAGGGGAAUGAGUAUGAUUAGCUAGUUGGAGGGGUAACGGCCCACCAAGGCGAGGAUCAGUAGCCCGUCUGUGAUGAUGAGCGGCCACAUUGGGGCUGAGACACGGCCCAGUCUCCUUCGGGAGGCAGCAGUGGGGAAGCUUCCGCCAUGGGCGAAAGUCUGACGGAGCAACGCCGCGUGAGUGAUGACGGCCUUCGGGUUGUAAAGCUCUGUUAAUCGGGACGCGGUACCGGAAUAGAAAGCCACGGCUAACUACGUGCCAGCAGCCGCGGUAAUUC